UUAUUCUCUGUAUUCCAUUCACACGUUGGUGUCCUUACCAUGACAGCCAACAUGGGUGCUAAUUAGCAGCUACACUCCUGCUGGCAGGUUGUGUGGGCACCCAUCAGGUAGCACCUGACCUGAAUUUAAUUAGCAUCACCAAUUAAGCGCUUUGUUAUUUGCACUGCAGUAACGCCAUGAGGUCCUAGCUAGUGCUGGGAGCCAAGUACACAGAAUUGAGAGAGGCAGUCUGUGGAAAAUAUGUUAGGACCCUGAGGGCACUAAUAAACCUUAGUCACCCUGACCAGCCUCACCUGGGACCCACAUCCCUGGGCCCAAGGGAUCUAUUUAAGCUCAAGCCAGGGGGCUUAGCCCUUCCUAAGCUUAUGCUGUGGAUGUGUCUGCUCUUGGUUUUGCUGCAGAUUUUGUUUUAUGGAUGGACUUGGCUCUGUCCUGUAGGUAAAUUGUUUCUGGGUUGGUCUCUUGGAUGGACUUUGGACCUAUGCUGUUGCCUUAUUUCUGGCUCUGCCUCCUUUUUUUCCUGGGUGGAUUCCUUGGAUGGUCUCUGGACCCUAUUUAUUGCCUUGCUUUGUCUGGGACUGUUGGUGGAGCCUCUGAUCUGUCUGCAGUCAGGAAGAGAUGCAGCCCUCAGCAGCCUUCGUUCCCCAGGAUGGACAGAAAGAAAUGGUGGAGCUAUGUGUGAUUUUCUCAUCUCUCAGGAUGCAAGCCUGCCACUGACCUUCACUGUGACCUUGGGCAAGUCAAUGACAGUGAAUUUUCAAGAGCUGAGCAUUGACCACCAGAGUCAGCUCAAAAUGCAUCAGCAUAGUGCCAAAUUAAUACGGCUUGGAUGCAGUCCAGUGGGCUGUGCUCUAAGUAUUUGUCUAAAAGCAUCACAAGAGAUGCUUAUCAUGGAGACCCUUUGGAAAUCUACAUGCAGGAGGAUGUCCCAGACCUUUAAGGCUCUGCUGUACCCUGAGAUGCACAAGGAUUCGUUUCUAAUUGUAUGAAAUGAGCAAAACUUUGUACCUAAUCAGAAGAGCUUCACUUAACAUAAUAGAGCACUAUUUUUUCCUAUUCAAUUAGAAAACCAUUUUUACUACUGAUAUGAAGACAGCUUUUUCCUUUCUGUUCAACUAUAGAAGGUACAGAGGCUUAGACAAGUGCCAGAAGGAGAAUAAUGUGGAUGAGACUUUCAUCCAAGUUUCUGGGAGUUUCAAUGGUUCUUGUUAGCACUUUCAUUUGUCCUGGAAUCAGUGCUGUCCCUUUGACUACUUACAAGAAACUGUCAUUGCCACAAAACCUAUUCUCCAACAAGGACAACAUGGCUUCACAGGCUGCAAUUUAGGGUCCUACUGCACAAUCUAACUCUGAGCUGCAUGGUCCCCAAGGAUAUACAAAAUGCUGUUACACUGAUUUUGCUUAAAGAAAAGUCAGCCCAUCCGUGUGAUUAAAGAUUCAAGAUUUUUCUGUAAAGAUGCAUUUUCAACAUAAAAGGCUGCCAGCAGAGAAGUCUCCCAUGGUGCAGUUUGUAGGAUCUUGUAAGAAUUUAGUGAGAUUAAGUUCCUAUAAAUUUCUUGAAACAUCUGCACAACCCACAACACAGUUUUGCUGCAUGUUCCACCAUUUGAAAUGCUGUUAAAUCUUGUUCAAGUAGUCAUUAAAAUGACAGGGCCUGCAGAAACACCAGGCUUCCUGCUGGGGGGCUGAGGGGAAAGCCUUACUGCAGGCAGCAUGGGAGGUGCUCUGCAAGGACAGGCCGAGUGAUUGUGCUGUAGGCCUUUGCUGUCAUCAGAAACCAGGGAAUUCGUUCCACUUCAGCCUACUUAAAAUAAACAAAAGCAUAUGUGUACCGACUGAGGAAUU
ensembl:lncRNA